GUGAAUGAAGACCCACAACACGAGCGGUGCAACAGGUGUUUUAUCUCCCAGUCUAGUCUAGCAUAUAAAUAACAAUGAACAGUACGUCACACGGGUGUCUAGCUAAACCACACACCGCAGAGGCUACCAACUAAGAAAAGAAAUUAAACAAACAGCACAACACUACAAAACAGAAGCUUUUUUUUUUUUUAGGCCUAAAUCGAUUAUGUUGGCCGGUGUAUAAAUAGGCCUUAGGUGUGGACACCACGUGGUUGUAACAGACCCCAAGUGAGAGACCGUUUGGUUCGGCCUUCAGAGAUAGUACCGUUAGACUCUAGUAUCCUAGAAUAAAUUAAUUGAACGUAGCUCAUCAACGUGGAAAAGAUAAUUGAUGCUAACGAGAGGCCUCUUCACAAAUAGAUUAGUUUAACAAGGCCACAACAGUAGAUCUAAAGCUGAGAGUUACGUGCAAUGAAGUUGAUUCCCAGAGACGUGCCUAUGUGAUGUGUUUUCUUGGUAUCGAAUUCGCAGCAUCUUAAAGGUUAAAGAAGCAAAAUUAAAAAAAAACUUUUUAAAAAGCAAAAGUUUAUCUAAAGGUUGUUUGCUUUGGUGUAUACCCUCAUGGAUAUUACCUAAGUGAUCCGCACCCAAACAUUCCACCAACUGGACAAACUUAUUCAAAACAUAUGCAUUACUGACCUGACAGCUGCUGCAAGUCAAGUGCGCUAUGAC